CGUGAAUCUUUGAAACUAUUCUUCAAAGGGCAGUAGAAGCAAAAACUGAAUAUUUACAAGGCAGAGGUUGAUAGCUUCUUGUUAUAUAUUCACAAAACAAGAUCGAUUGAUGACUGAAUGGAGUGGGAGUUUAUGAACGAUGAGGAAAGCCAGUAGAAGAACUAUCAAUGGCCCUCCACCCUAGAUACCUGAAGGCAACGUCCAUAGCAUGUCAGCAAAAGCUGAUGAAGAGAAUGAGUGAGCCAUUCAAAUGUUAUAACUGAUUUUGUUCCAAUGAUUUUCUGUGACUUGUGGCACAUUAAAAAUUAUUAGGCAGAGCUUUAUCCAAAAAUUGAUGGCUCGUCCCUUACAGAGUAACAUUUUAUGGUCUUAAUAUUUGCCUAAAAAUAUACUUGAUUUGAAACCUGACCCUAUCUGGAAAAUAUAGACGUGAGGUUCCAAUGGAUUUACAGAAGCAUCACACUCAACAAAAGAAAGUUGACAAGACUUCAGAUCUCAGUGUGUAGUUAUGCUGACAACUCUCCAAAUGUCUCCAUUCAUUUUUGCAGCUUGAUACAUCUUGGUGUCAGUAGAAAGGGAAUCUAACAUUCUGUUCAUUUAACAUUCAAAGUUACUCCGCAGUUGAUUUAUAUGACAGUUUAAUUUCUAGCCAGUUCAGUUUAGUUUAGAUAUUAUCUGAGUAAAAUGUUAAUAUACAUUUUCACACAUAUUAACUUCGGGUACCGAGGUAUGUUCGGUCCAUUGAAAAAAUACGAUUAAUGCAAUUGACUAAUUUCCACCUUCUUGGUCUAUGCCCCAUCAUACGCCAAGUAAAACCAUGUUAGGACUAACACUUGGAACUCACUUGCCAGUUCAUAGGCAAGUUCAUUUAAUGUUCUCGAAUACAAUGCAAGAAUCAAUAAGAGUAAUUAGCAAUCUACCAAACUGUAAAAUAAAAUAAAUCUCCCUUUUUGGCUA